rnacentral:tRNA from 1 species
GGGGCUGUAGCUUAGUGGUAGAGUGCUUGCCUUGCACAUAUGAGGCACUGGGUUCAACCCUCAGCACCA